UCUAGACCCUCCAGCAGAACUC
rnacentral:miRNA from 1 species